rnacentral:rRNA from 1 species
AACAUGUUAGACGAAUCAUCUGGAAAGAUGAAUCAAAGAAGGUAAUAAUCCUGUAGUCGAAAACAUAUUCUCUCUUGAGUGGAUCCUGAGUACGACGGAGCACGUGAAAUUCCGUCGGAAUCUGGGAGGACCAUCUCCUAAGGCUAAAUACUCUCUAGUGACCGAUAGUGAACCAGUACCGUGAGGGAAAGGUG